UAUGGGGUGGACAACCGUAAGUUUCUGAAUAGAUUUCCAUUCGGAUGAAAUGCACUUGGCCAGGUUAUCACUUAGAAGCUGUCUUCAAGGAAGUAUAGAGGGAGUCCUUGUGAAUGUCUGGGUAAAGAAGCCACAGAUUCUGUUUCCCAGAGGAGUCAAGAGAAGUAGCAAGAUCUCCCCAAAAAUGCAAAACCAUUGAGCUGUUUUUCUAGAAGUGAUGUCAUAACAUCAUUACUUUGAGGUGGACUUCUCCAUCCUUUUCCCACUGAGCUGAGGCCAGAGAGGAAGUAUUUCAGCUUUGCUCUACAUGGAUCAGGUCAGAGCCAUCCAGGAGCCCUGCCACAAGUGGGGAGGCCAGCACCUGAGGGGUGAUUCUGACACAGUUGGAAAACCGUGCAGAAUAGGAGUUCUCCCAAGGAAGUAAAGGAGCUAGACUGUCUCGGUGACAUGAGCACAGAGGUGAAGUGUGUCCGUGGUUUGUUUAGUUUGGAAUUUUAAAGCUCCACCAAAAAUGAAGGAGGCCUUUUUCUUCUCACUUAUGUUGACAGACUGUUGACUGGCCUUUCACACUAACUUGGUUGGAAAAAGAAGAAGAAGAAAAAAACUUCAGAUGAUCCUAUUUGUGUAAGAAAAAAAAGUCUUCCAAACAACUCCCUUGUCGCCAGCAUCAACAGCAGCUGAACACGGGCUGAGUUGUUACACAGUGAGAAUUAUUCCUUUCAUGUCAAAGGCAUCAGAUGUUUGGGGCAAGCAAAAGCUCUGGCUGGUUAAACAUGAUCAAAAUAAACUAGUAUCACAUUUGCUUACAGAACGCGUUGAUUAAAUCUCCUGCUGCAGUCUGAGUACACUGUUUGUUCCUCCAGAAAGGUUUUAUAAGGAGGGAGGUCAGCUCAAAAAUCUAAGCUGAUUUGUAGAGCCUAAGAAGCGUCUGAAGAUUUUCUCUUUCCAGAAUUCCUUUCUUCUGAUGUAACACUGCUGCAAGUGCGCCUGAGCUGUUGAUGACUUAUAAACAGAAGUCAAAGGGAAUUGGAGCUUCUGUCAAGACCCAUUCCAAAUACAAUAAAA